rnacentral:lncRNA from 1 species
UUCUUUUCUAUUAUUAUUUUUAAGGAUAUGUUAACGAGUGUCCUAAGUGUCAUGUUAAAAUGCAACGCUUAAUAAUAUAAGAAAUUUAAUACUUUAAAAUUAAAAUGUACAAAUUUUAAAAAGUAAUUUCUACAUUUACUUUCCGCUAUAAAUUCUCCUUUUUCUUUUUUUGGAAAAAUAAAUUCUCCUUUUUCUAGUGUAGUUAGAGCAUCUCCGUGUAUCUAUGAAAGUUUCAUAGACAUAUAAUACGGUACCUUAACUUUUUUAUCAUUGGAGUUCUAUGACGUGGCACAGAGGGUAUCAAAAUUGAUGAUAUCGGUACCUUAAAUAAGGUACCAUUAAUUUAAUGUUAUUAUUAUUUUAAUUUUUGGUAUAUAAAUCCAAUUUAAUAGCUUCCACAACAUUACUGUUUGUUAUUAAUGUAUGAUACUCAAAAAAUAGUAUCAUCAUUAGAGUAAAAUAUGUAUGAGUUGCAUAAAUAUUACAUGACAUUGUAGGGACCAUUUAUUAGUAAUGUACAAUACCCAAAGUGAUAUCACCAUUGGAGCUGCUCUUAAAGCAUGUCCAAUAAGAGUUUCAUUAUUGAGUUCCAAACACUAUGCAAUCGUAGCAUAAUUUUUGUUUCCAUUGGAGAAUAUUUAUGUGGCAAUACGAGUUUCAUAAAAAGUUGUAGAGUACUUUAUUUAAAAUAUCAUUUCAUACGAAUAUUAAUUAAUUAGGCUUAUAAUAAUCAACCAACAAAAGAAUUGAUUAAUUAAGCAAUAGUAUCUUAUACGUUGUUUAAAUAUACAUCAUUGGAGUAAAAUUAUUAUGGGUUAUAUAAAUGUGAUGUGUGAGACACUGAAGUCCACUAAAUAAGGGAUAAGCUAUCCAAAUGAAUUUCAUAAAUUAUAUCUAUGGAAGAUGCUCUUAGUUGUUUAUUAAAGUAUCGUAUGUUAAGAAUAAUGUUUAAAUUUCUUUUUGAAUAUUUUAGAUUUAAAUAUAUUUUAGAUUUAUAUUUCAGUUUAAAAUAUUUAGGAUUUGUUUUUAUGUAAUUUUAUAUAGAGAGCAUAUAGUUAUAAAUAAUAUAUGAGAAAGAAAAAUAAGAGCAUGAGAGUAUUUUCCAUGUAACAAUAUAUUUAAUUUCUUCUCCGUAUAAACAUAAAAAUAUAUCCCACCAAAUUUCACAAUACCAAAAACACAAAAAACCAUAUCACUGUUAGUUUUUCUCUUUGUCAGAAUUUGAACAAUCGACCUCCAACUUCUAAACCCUUAACUCAACUGGUUAAGCCAAUUGAGCUACUCAUCCCACCCUAUGUCUUUAUUCUAUUGAUUUCAGAUCCUUUGCUUCUUCACCCUUCUGGCCAACAAAUUAAAAUUAUUGUGUAAAUUGAAGUAUUGAACCUAUAAUAGUACUUUAUCUAUAGUACUAUUACCUUAUAAAAAUGUUAAUAUGUGUCAUUAGAACACUUAUUAUAAAAUCAAAGAUAAUAACAUCUUAAAAAUUGUGUAAUCAGCCUCUUAAAAAUUUAAAAAUUACAUUUUCCUUUGAAAUAAAUUUCUUCUUUUAGAUCCUUUCAACACAAAACUUGUCUACAACACUUAUUAGUGUUACCUUUAAGUUUUAACUUAUAUAUGGUGAAAUUAAGUUAGGAGAAUGAGAAAACCUGG